CACCUUCUUUGACGAUAACGGUACAGAUUAGCCGGACAAUUUGAUAAUGAUUCGAACGUAUUGUCUCGGGUUGGUGGGGUGUCUCUGGGUAGGCUGUUUGGUUGUGUACCUGACAGUGAGGCAGAACAGUGAUGAGAGCCUCGACAGGACAUCAAGAGAGACCAGUGAUGAAGAUGGUUCGGGCCCGUCAUCUGAGCUGGUGGGUGGUUCCUACCCCUGGGAAGGUCGGGUAUUCGUCAGGGGUCAGGAUGGUAAAUACGGCGCCAUGUGCAGCUCCUACGUCACCACACAGGACCUCACCGUAGUCUGCAGGAGCAUCUUUCCAAAUGAGCUAGUCAAGGGCUACAGCAGUCCAGUGACAGCCUUUGGCGGGAGUUUAGAAAAUAACGUUAUGGCCAACGCCCCCGUUGCUAUGGCACCGAAUCUGACAUACUUCAAUGUCCAGGGGAUGAUCAACUGGGUUGAUAAAUCUGUCUGCGUUCGGGGUCAAGCCGCCGUCAACUGCCAAGCCAACACCCCUAUGCGUCUUACGGGUGGCACCUCUCUGUACGCGGGUAGACUGGAGGUGUUUUCAAACUCCACGUGGGGCUCUGUGUGUAAUGUCGGCUUCACCAGUCUGGAUGCCCGAGUGGUCUGUGACAAGCUGGGAUUCUGGCAUGCAAAUCCUUCUGUGGUGUCGGCGUCGUCGUACGGGACGUUUACAGGCCCUGUACACAUGGAAAACGUUACAUGCAGCGGAACUGAGCCGGACCUAGCGUUCUGCUCCUUUGACGGCGGCGACACGACGUGUAACCAUACCACGGACGUCGGCAUCAGCUGCCAGCCAGGGCUGUUGUCCGUCUCGUACGUGCGUCUGACGGACGGGGUGCAGCCCUGGGAGGGACGGGUGGAGAUGUUCAGCACCUACCGUCACACCUGGACGCCCGCCUGCAGCCACAGCUGGACCAGCAUCAACUCCAAAGUGACGUGUACCAACCUGGGAUAUAGGUACGGCGGAGCGGUGAAGAGUCCGAUGCCGGAGGGAAGUUUACGAGUCCUCCUGAACCGCCUGACGUGUCACGGCAACGAGACGAACCUGGCCCAGUGCCCGGGCUACUGGAUGAGACACAGUUAUGACUGUGGAGUGUUCCCUCCUACCACCGCUGCUAUAGACUGCUCAGGUGGCAUCAAAGUCCAGCUGACUGGUGGCACCAAGCCUCAGGAAGGUCUUGUGGAGAUUCUACAAUCUGGAUCGUGGGCGGCCGUGGAAAACAGCUCCGUACAGACUGAAGAAGCCUCUGGCCCUGUGUGCCUCUGUUGGAUACCCAGAACACCAAGCCACAGGUGUUGCCUGGCAACACGUUCGGGAGAGGCACCAACAGAACCAUCUCCACGUUAUCGUGCUCAGGAGCGAGGCAGCACGUAGCACAGUGUACCAUCUCCGCUCCAGUCGUCAACACCAAGUCCGUCCAUGCCGCAAUACGGUGUUUCAGUUGCGGAGACACCUACACAUCGGAGUCGGGCAGCAUUCCUUCUCCCGGGUACCCAGGCAGCGCCUCCGACAACACUGACUGUCUGUACCGCAUCAGCCCCAA
rnacentral:misc_RNA from 1 species